UACGUAGGUGGCAAGCGUUGUCCGGAAUUAUUGGGCGUAAAGCGCGCGCAGGCGGUCCUUUAAGUCUGAUGUGAAAGCCCACGGCUCAACCGUGGAGGGUCAUUGGAAACUGGGGGACUUGAGUACAGAAGAGGAAAGCGGAAUUCCACGUGUAGCGGUGAAAUGCGUAGAGAUCCGGCGGAACACCGGUGGUGAAGGCGGUCUCCUGGGCCGAGGGCCGACGCUGAGGCGCGAGAGCGUGGGGAGCGAACCGG
rnacentral:rRNA from 1 species